rnacentral:tRNA from 1 species
GGGUGAUUAGCUCAGUUGGUAGAGCAGCUGACUCUUAAUCAGCGGGUCGCAGGUUCGACUCCUGCAUCACCCA